GAGUGAUCAGGUACUCGAUCCAUCCGACGUUACCAUGGCUGGUGUGAAAUUUACAUUCGUCCUAAUCUUUGUAUGCACUCUCAUGCUGAUAAACAUCUCUAGGAGUGCGGUGCUUGAAGGCCCCGCGUUUCACAGAUGUAUCGACGGUCGUAACGGAACGGAGUGCGAUCCACAGGACUCGGAAUACUGCGGUAGAGGCUGCACGUGUAGCGACAAACACCAUGCUGGAAAAUAUACGUGCCAGUUUACCAAGAGAAAAACAACGCCAAUAAAUUGAGACAAUAAAAAUGGUUUCCUAUAUUGA